rnacentral:rRNA from 1 species
CCCUUAGACGUUCUGGGCCGCACGCGCGCUACACUGACUAGUCCAACGAGUGUUUGUACCUUUGCUGAUAGGCAUGGGCAAUCUCUGAACGCUAGUCGUGAUAGGGAUCGAUUUUUGGAAUUAUUAAUCGUCAACGAGGAAUUCCUAGUAAACGCGAGUCAUCAGCUCGCAUUGAUUACGUCCCUGCCCUUUGUACACACCGCCCGUCGCACCUACCGAUUGAAUGGUCCGGUGAAGCCUCCGGAUUGGACGUGCUGACCCUGUCAGCCGGCCGAGAAGUUGGCUAAAUCUUACCAUUUAGAGGAAGGUGAANUCGUAACA